rnacentral:rRNA from 1 species
UAGGGAAUCUUCCACAAUGGACGAAAGUCUGAUGGAGCAACGCCGCGUGAGUGAAGAAGGUUUUCGGCUCGUAAAACUCUGUUGUUAAAGAAGAACAUAUCUGAGAGUAACUGUUCAGGUAUUGACGGUAUUUAACCAGAAAGCCACGGCUAACUACGUGCCAG